UACCAAUCGCACUAGAAAAGUAUGGAGAA
rnacentral:piRNA from 1 species